GGCCUACUCCUGCACCUAAUUUCUAUGUUUCUAAGACACAGAGAAGAUUAGCAUAGUCCCUGCACAAGGGUGAUACGCAAAUUCAUAACGCAUUCCAUAUUUUC